AUUGAAGAAAUGUUUUGUUAGUUUUAGCUCUAAACCCUGCUGUCUGUUUUGUCACGCCAGAUGUUUGUGCUCAGCUGUCCAGGAUCUCUCUGACCUUGAGGAAUGUGCGUGCUGAUGAAGAGACAGGAAGUGAUGUCAUCACACUGAACCGGGAUUCACCUGACUCGGCACACGCUGCUGUCGCCAAUCUGAUCUUACAAAGCUUCUGUCUGUGUUUACUGGAUGCGUCCAAAGUAAAGCCUCCUAACAGACAGGGCUCAUGGCCGAGUGUGUUUGUGAAGGCUCUGCUGGCUCACAGAGGGCUCGUCUCAGCUUUGAUACACAGACUGUGG